rnacentral:lncRNA from 1 species
UUUUUUUUUUUAAUGGCCACAUCUGUGACAUAUGGAGGUUCCUGGGCCAGGGAUUGAAUCUCAGCCAUAGCCACAGAUACAGCAAGACCGAAUCUUUCAACCCACUGCACCAGGCUGGGAGUUGAGCCUGCACUCUCACAGUGACCCGAGCUGCUUCAGUCAAAUUCUUAACCUACCGUGCCACAGCAGCAACUCCAUUUCAUGAGUAGUCUUAAAAACAUAUCACAGUAAUUUUAGCAAAUUUCCUUCAAAGGGAUUAAGGUAUUAUUUAUUGUACUUAUGUUUUAUAAGGAUGUUUUCAAGUGUUUCUUAUUCUGUUCAUUUUUGAGAAGGAAAGAUCAUGAAAGGAGGCUUUCACAGAAAAAAAAAAUGGCUCUCCAUUUCUCAAAACGUACCCAAUUAGAUACAUUUUAGGUAAUGCCUGUUAGGGAAUAUUUGUGAGAGAAGACAAUACACCACGCAACUUUAUCAUCAAAGACAAGUAUUGUCCUGUUGGUAAGCAAGCACUAUCCUUUAUAACAAGAUUGAAAUGAGAAGAGGCAGGCAAUUAGAUACUUAAUAGAAUCUAAAAUUGUGAAUAUAAAAUCUAAAAGUUCAAAAGAAACUGUAAAAUAAAAAAGAAAUAAGGAGAAACAACUAAAUGUGCAUACUAGACAAUCCCAAUAAAGCACCAUUCUAAAAAUGCUUGGGGGUAAUUUAAGAUGGUCCUUUCUAUAUGGGAAGGUAAAGGAAAGUCCAGCUGAAAUACUAUUUAAAGGUGGCCUCUGACUGUGUGUAAACACCAGAGGUCCAUUAAAAUCCACGAUGGCUGUUAGUAAAACUUAGUUUCUGAGUACAUAUGCAGGAAGAGAAAAGGUCAAGCGACCUUGUUGAGCUGGGUUACUUGCUGAAGGGAAAGGGCAGCAGUAGAGGGUAUAUAUCCAGCAUAUACCAUAUAUAAAUAAACUCUAAACAGGUGCAAAGUAAUUGUCUUCCAUCAAUUCUUCUUGUUUUAAUGAGUCUUUACUGCUCCUCCCAGAAAAAGUUGGGAAGAGUAAGUCUGAGACAUGAUUCAUGCAUCAUUCUCUAGCUUUCUGGAACUUUUGAUAAAUUUUUUACAUUUCUAAGUGAUACCUCUUAAAAAUUAUUGCUUUUACCUCAUGGUUUUGAUUAUAGAACAUGAAACUGAAACUUAAGAAAUUCUGGCUUGUGAGAUACAUAUUUAUAAUACAGGGCUACCAAAUGUAUUGCCUUGGUAUCAUUUACAUUUCUGAAUUUGAACCAAAUACACUCCAUGACCUAUAUUUUCAUUUUUCUCCUGAAUUCCACAUCUGCUAUAGUUUGGACAUAUGUAUAUUUGAAGUUAUCUGUGUGCUUCAGAAAAGCCAAAGAUCUUCUGCAUUGGGUUGAAAUUCUUUGAGACUACUUGUGAGUCACUACAUAUGUUUUUUGGGCAGCUGGGGUUUGUGGCCAAAUUUGAAGCACUUACUUCAAGCUGGUGCAUGCUACCAUAUGGAGAAAUGGUUUCCAGCCAAAACAUUUAAUUAACAGUGAAUCAAGAUGACCGUGUCUUCACUUUGCCACAUGUAAGUGCUGAACACAGUGACAAAGCGAAGACAAGGUACUUGCAUACUAGACCAGGUCCCUGGCCCUUCCCAUCUGGUCAUGAUAACACCCCAUCUUAUUUUUACCAUCCUCUCUCACUCUAUCUCAUUGCACUCCAUAUGGAGACAGGCAGUAGAUAUAUGGGAAAAGCUACAUAUUUGGGAUCAAAUACAAUUUGGUUGGCAAGAUUUGCCUCUUAUAGGACUAACCUGAGACACCUUACCAGUAAGCAGAAAAUAGGAAAAUAUGAAAACUACAAGCUUGCUUUCAUAAGUACAGGUGUUUCAUGGCAAUUUUAUUAAUGUUUUUUGAAAGACUGUAUCCAUUGACACUGAAAAUUCCUUUGAGUUAUAAAACAAUAUAUGAGGAACGGAAGGGGGAACAUACUCAAAACUUACGAUACAAUUACCCAUUUCUUGACAUUAUUUCAGUUUUUGAAUCAUAAUCAAAAACAUGAUAAAUAAAAAAUGCAGAGGUUAUGGAGACUCAAAAAGAACAAAAAAACCUCUAUGAUAAGAAGAUCAUUUCACAGAAGAAAUCCCUAAAGUAAUAUCAAAAAAGAAAAGACUUAUUACCACAAGUUACAUUUAACAAUAUUCUCACAAGAAGAGAUCAGCCAUAACAGCUAAUACCAAAGGCAGACAACCCUCAGUAAUGAAUCCCAAGGUAAUUCCAUGAACAAAAAGAACCAGAAAGAACAAGUGUUGUCAGUGUUAAUAAAGAAAUGAGGUUAGUUCAAAAUAGUAAAUGUCUCCUUAAGUCAGCAGCAUCACCUAUCUUAGAAUGCAAGGUUAACACAACUACCAAUGAAACCCACAUUGUCUGAUACACUUCACAUUUUGUUAAGCAAUUUCCUCCCUCAGUCCAAGCUUUGAAAAAAAUAAUUCUGGACAUUAUCAUGAUCAAAGAGAAUUUAUUGGAACUUAAAAAUUCUUCCAUCCCUUUACAUCUGAUUGUCAAAUCUACCUAUAUUUUUCAUGAUCCAGGAAACUGCAUGUGCGGCCUCUGAAACAAAGCAACAAAAGAUCUUACACCAAUUCUCUGUUUAAUAUUUUUAAAGACACUAGAAAUGUAAAUUCCUUGAUGCCAUCAGAACCUAAUUAAAAGGUAUUUAAAUCAAUCAUUUUUGAAUUACAGAAUGCCAAAUAAUGUUUGCUUGUCUUGCUUUUCUAUUUUCACUAAAAUGAGCUAUGCACACCUGUUGAGGAGGCUUACUAUGAGAUGAUGACAAUUUUUCCUAAGUUUUUCUUAGCACUCACAAGGAAACAAUCUUUAAAGAUGGCUUUCAUGAAAAUAUCACUGUAGUUAAACAAAUAUUAAUUACAUGAAGAUAAACGAAUAGAUUUUGUAAAAGGCACAUUUUAAAAGCAGUGAUCAGAGAUGUAUGUCUGCUUCAAUCACCCUAGUCAGUGAGUGGGACUGGUGUUCCUCUCAGUGGGAGCUGCCAGCAUAAUGACAUUUCACAGUAGGAGCCCAGUUGGAUGAUGCAAACUAGGAUGGAAAAGAAUGUCUUUAUGUUCAGAAAGCAUCCCAAAUCCGAAAGAUUCCAAGCUGUAACGAAAGAGUCCCAUGAUUUAUCUUUAGAGGCAAGCACUUUGUUAACUGAACAAGUUCUAACCAGAUGUUAAUUGAGCAUAAAAUUACAAAACUUGGCUAGCACCAUGGCAGACUGUAAAUCCACUGGGUAGAAGCUAGGUUGACCUCUGUGUCCUACAUUACACCUAGCAUGAUUUGAACAGUCUAUAAAUACUGGGAAGUAUUUGGAGUUCAAAAAUUACUGCUAAAAAGAAAGUUCUAUGUCUAAUCUUAUAUUUUUAUCACUAGUAUUUUAUUAUUAAUGAUUGUUACAGUAUUCUAUGACUUACAAAAUACUUUUGAGAUGCACUAAUACAUCUAACCCUUGCUCUAAGUACAAGUUGGGUAUUAUUUUCCCUAUUUUCCUAUAAAGAACCUGAGACUAACCCAUCUAUUAUAUUCAGUACUAGAUGCUUUGAAAGAUUACAGGUCUAGAUAACCUCCUUAGCUUUGUGUACCUAUAUGUCCAGGACAAUGACAAAGAUCCUUACUGAACUCUGUUCAUCCUGUCUGCUUCUUACUUCUUAAUACAUGUGUCCAGAGAGUAUUCAAUACCCCUGGCCUCCAAUUUGUCAUCAUCUCCUAUCCUCCACUAUUUUCCUAUUCUGUAGUUUCAACCACCAACAUUCUAUUGAAAUGGAUUCCUUAUAAUCACCUGUGACCUUUGAGUCAACAAGUUCAAACAUCUUGUCUUGGUCCUCAUCUCUUGUGGCCUUCCUACAUCUUUUAGGAUUUUGUUGAUUCCUUCUUGUCAAUAUGUUCUUUGAUAAGUUCUCUGUAAAAUGCCUUUGCUUCCUAUGGUUCUGCCCUCUACCUGGUGAUUUUGGACCUCUGCACCCAUAACUGUCAACUCUCUGUUGAUGGUGGUGGGAUGCUUCUUCUGAGCCAGAUAAUCAGCCUCAAAUUCAGUAGACUAGAACCAAACUUGCCCUCGACAAUAAGGACAUCUUUCCCUUCUGAUUUGCCUAUUCUAACCACGGGUUUAUCAUCAUCCCAUUCAUUUGUAAUUGAAGGCUUUGCCUUUUUUUUUUUUUUUUUUUGGUUCUAGUUGCCAAGACCCAACAGUUCUUUCUUCAUAGUUGCUGAUAUUUUUUACAACAGAGUUUGAGCAUAUCUCUUUAAAACUACUAUGCCAAGUGCAUAACUUAGUGGGUACACUCUUACUUAAAAGUAUUUGGUGUGUUCCUCUUCACUUCUCACUUUUGUUACUUACUGGUUGGAGUCCAGUUUCUGACUUCUUCAGGCAAAUUCCUCAUUAUCCCUUCUCAUUCAAGAUAGCAGGAUGUAAGGAAGGAAUUUAAAAUUUUCAGAUUCUCUACUCUUUGCAUUUAGGGCUGAAUUCACAGCUUCGUUAAGCUGGAGUGCAUUAAUCCCACGUAUACUAGACUAAUAAAACAUUCUAUAAGAACCAGAAGAAAUGCUAAGUUUUCCAUGUGGUCUUCCCUGAUUUUCCAAGUCAGAAAUGCAUCUCUUUCCAAUAAAGUCCUUAAAACUUGGUUGAACUAUUCACAUAUCAUAGAUUUUCUUCCUUUUUGAAUUUUGUCAACAUGACUAUGCAUGUGUAUAUCUACCCAUUGGGUUAUUUUUGUAUAGGUCUAUCUUUAUGCAGGCCCAUAUAUCCAUCUACCCAUCAUUCUAUCUAUAUUUCAUUAAAAUAUUACUUCCAGGAGUUCCUGUUGUAGUUCAUAACUCAACUAGUAUCCAUGAGUAUGAGAGUUUGAUCCCUGGCCUUGCUCAGUGGGUUAAGGAUCCACGCUGCCAUGAGCUUUGAUGUAGGUCACAGAUGUGGCUCGGAUCCCAUGUUGCUGUGGUAUACACUGGCAGCUGCAGAUCUGAUUUGACCCCUAGCCUGGGAACAUACAUAUAUGUCAAGGGUGCAUACCUAGAAAGAAAAAAAAAAAUAUCGAUUCCAGAAUGUCAUACACUCCUUAAGAUGAGGAAUUUCCACUCAUCCUUAACUUUACUCACUUAGAAGCACCCCACAUACAAUAAAUUUCUAAUAUGAUAUAUAAAUAAUUAAAUGAGAGAUUAUUAAACU